GGAAUGAUGAACUACAAUCGCUACAAUGAUACUGUGUGAUUAGAUCUACACCUCUAAGAAGUUCUGACCAG